GGUGAACCUGCGGCAGGAUCAUUAAUGGGCGCUGCCCCCUCUGGCCCUUCCUGCCUGCCUUCCUGCCUGUUUCCCUGCCUCCUUACAGCAGUGGAACCGAAAGCCAGCCCCCUGGCGGACGUUUGCAUGACCCAAAACCGAGGAAAGACUUCAGGGAGACAUGGCCGCGAAAUCCCUGGAACUAUUUUUGGCAUGAAAACGUUGCGUUUUGCCGGUGGUUCUCCAGCCACACUUAGCCGCGAUUC